rnacentral:snoRNA from 1 species
UCUACCUAUGAUGAGUUGCAAACCUUAUUGCCUACAUUGUUUGACCAAUCUUGUGAGAAAUUUAUGCAAUGUCUGAGGAUGGA